rnacentral:rRNA from 1 species
CCUACGGGAGGCAGCAGUGAGGAAUAUUGGUCAAUGGACGAGAGUCUGAACCAGCCAAGUAGCGUGAAGGAUGACUGCCCUAUGGGUUGUAAACUUCUUUUAUAUGGGAAUAAAAUGUUCCACGUGUGGGAUUUUGUAUGUACCAUAUGAAUAAGGAUCGGCUAACUUCGUGCCAGCAGCCGCUGUAAUACGGAGGAUCCGAGCGUUAUCCGGAUUUAUUGGGUUUAAAGGGUGCGUAGGUGGAUUGUUAAGUCAGUUGUGAAAGUUUGCGGCUCAACCGUAAAAUUGCAGUUGAAACUGGCAGUCGUGAGUACAGUAGAGGUGGGCGGAAUUCGUGGUGUAGCGGUGAAAUGCUUAGAUAUCACGAAGAACUCCGAUUGCGAAGGCAGCUCACUGGACUGCAACUGACACUGAGGCUCGAAAGUGUGGGUAUCAAACAGGAUUAGAUACCCGGGUAGUC